rfam:Desulfotalea psychrophila LSv54 chromosome
CGCGGGGUGGAGCAGUUUGGUAGCUCGUCGGGCUCAUAACCCGAAGGUCGUUGGUUCAAAUCCAGCCCCCGCUA